UCCAGGAAAGCAUUGCUUGCUAUCAGCUUAUUGAUUCCUCAGUGAUAUAAGGGGCUAAGGACUGAUUAAAAACUCGUGGUAGAAAUAGCAGCAGCAGUAAUCUUACCUAAAAUGUGACCAUAGUUUGUUUAGAUGGGUUUUACCUUUAAAAAAAAUUCUACUUUGGAUGUGGAUGACUAAGUGUUGCUAAUUCCCAUUUGACCAAUGCAGUGGAUAUGUGCCAGAACUUGCUUAAUACCCUUUCUUGGUCCUAAAGGUAAUUAAUUUGUUAAUGCAGAAGCAGUCAUUAGUACUGAUGAAAGGCUCGCACGGAGAACCGUACGCUGUGCAUUAGGAGCAGCAGAGAUCCUCUGGGAUCUGAACAGAGAAGGACUGUUUGAGAUGUGCACUCUAUGCUUGUCAAAGAGAAGAUGAGCUCCUUCUGCUGUGACUCAACGCUCACAGUGCAGAUACUGACCUUGCCUAAAGUGUUGUGCUCCACAGCAAUUUCUCGGAAG